AGAGAAAUGCCAAGUAGAUAUAUAUAUAUAUACACAAGACUCUGAAGCAUACGUGCAUAUAGGUUAUAUAUAUAAAUAUUUAUAGCUGUGACUAUGUAAACAUUUGCGCGCUAUAGUCCGUAUAGCGGGUGUAGUCCACAUGAGUCACUACCCCCAACAAAAAGAAAAAGAACGAAGUGAACAACGAAAUUUAUGUCAGCAGUGCCAAAAGCGACGAGCGAAUGAAGGCAAUAAAAACAAGCGGCAAAUAAAUAAAUAAGAAAUUCUAAAUAAGAAAGAGGAAAACAUGAAAAAUAACAAAAAACCGAACAAAGUACUCAGAUAUUCAUGCAAUAUGUGCGAGUGUGUGUCUGUGUGUGCGAGUGUGUAAGUGUGGGGGCAUGUCCGUGGGGGCACAAGCACAUUAUACAUAUUUAUGCAAUUCAAAUGGGAGCCCAACAGGUUGCAACAGAAAUGAUUCAAAAAUAUCCCCAUAUGGCAAUUGAAAUUUCGUUUUCAGCACAAGCAAACUUUUUGUAACCAAUAAAAAACAAGAAAGAACAGUUAUUAGCUGUACCGAAGAGAAUCGUAAAUUUUGGAUACUCUACUUUAUACUAUGGUCAUGUACAGAAAACCAGAAUCUGGUAAUGAGUAACAAUUUCGACUAAAAUUGUUAAUAAUAAAACAAAAACAUUUAUGACUUA